CUGUCUGGGGUGGAAAGGUAGACCCUACUCUGUCUGGGGUGGAAAGGUAGGCCUACUCUGUCUGGGGUGGAAAGGUAGGCCCUACUCUGUCUGGGGUGGAAAGGCAGACCUACUCUGUCUGGGGUGGAAAGGUAGGUCUACUCUGUCUGGGGUGGAAAGGUAGACCCUACUCUGUCUGGGGUGGAAAGGUAGGCCUACUCUGUCUGGGGUGGAAAGGUAGGCCCUACUCUGUCUGGGGUGGAAAGGUAGGCCCUACCCUGUCUGGGGUGGAAAGGUAGGUCCUACUCUGUCUGGGGUGGAAAGGUAGGCCCUACUCUGUCUGGUGUGGAAAGGUAG
ensembl:lncRNA